CUACGGGGGGCUGCAGUCGAGAAUCUUCCGCAAUGGACGAAAGUCUGACGGAGCGACGCCGCGUGCGGGAUGAAGGCCUUCGGGUUGUAAACCGCUGUCAGUGGGGAGGAAAUGCAUCAGGGUUCUCCCUGGUGUUUGACCGAUCCGCAGAGGAAGCGCAGGCUAAGUUCAUGCCAGCAGCCGCGGUAACACGAACUGCGCGAACGUUAUUCGGAAUCACUGGGCUUAAAGAGUUCGUAGGCGGCCUUUCACGUCGGGUGUGAAAUCCCUCGGCUCAACCGAGGAAUUGCGCCUGAUACUGUUGGGCUUGAGGGGGAUAGGGGUGAGCGGAACUGAUGGUGUAGCGGUGAAAUGCGUUGAUAUCAUCAGGAACACCGGUGGCGAAGGCGGCUCACUGGAUCUCUUCUGACGCUGAGGAACGAAAGCUAGGGGAGCGAACGGGAUUAGAUACCCGCGUAGUC
rnacentral:rRNA from 1 species